rnacentral:rRNA from 1 species
CCUACGGGAGACAGCAGUGGGGGAUAUUGCACAAUGGGGGCAACCCUGAUGCAGCGACGCCGCGUGAGCGAUGGAGUACUUCGGUAUGGAAAGCCCUGUCAGCAGGGAAGAGAAUGACGGUACCUGACCAAGAAGCCCCGGCUAAAUACGUGCCAGCAGCCGCGGCAAUAGGUAUGGGGCAAGCGUUAUCCGGAUUUACUGGGGGUAAAGGGAGCGUAGGCGGCAGGGCAAGCCUGAGGGGAAAGCCCGGGGCUCAACCCCGGGACGGCAUUGGGAACUGCCCCGCCCGAGUGCCGGAGGGGCAGGCGGAAUUCCUAGUGUAGCGGUGAAAUGCGUAGAUAUUAGGAGGAACACCAGUGGCGAAGGCGGCCUGCUGGACGGUGUACUGACGCUGAGGCUCGAAAGCGUGGGGAGCAAACAGGAUUAGAUACCCUAGUAGUC